UAUCUCGCUGGGGCCUCCAAAUAUUAUGGGUUGGCUCAGCGAGAUAGACCACCGACUCAGAAUUUAAAUUUAAGAGCCUUUGUUA
ensembl:miRNA